rnacentral:rRNA from 1 species
CCUGUUGUGGCGCCAGCCGCACCGCAGGGUAGCUACGUUCGGGAAGGAUAAGCGCUGAAAGCAUCUAAGCGCGAAGCCUGUUCCAAGAUGAGAUCUCCUUCGAGGGCCGUUGGAGACUACGACGUUGAUAGGCCGCAGGUGUAAAGGCAGCGAUGCCAAAGCCGAGCGGUACUAAUUGCCCGAAGACUUACAAGU